rnacentral:lncRNA from 1 species
AUAUAGAGUCUCACUCUGUGGUCCAGGCUGAAGUACAGUGGCAUGAUCCCAGGUCACUGCAACCCCCACCUCCCGGGUUCAAGUGAUCCUCCUGCCUCAGCCUCCCGAGUAGCUGGUAUUACAGGCGUGUGCCACAAAGCCUGGCUAAGUUUUGUAUUUUUAGUAGAGACGGGGUUUCACCAUGUUGGCCAGGUUGGUCUCGAACUCCUGACCUCAAGUGAUCCACUCACUUUGGCCUUUCAACGUGCUGGGAUUACAGGCGAGAGUCACCGCACCCGGACGACUCUGACAUUUUUGAAGAGUCCAGAAUCCUGUUACACCUGGGAUUUAGGCACUUUCAAUCUGAAAAAAUACAUAUCCUUUCAGCACUCUGGACGGACUUGAGAACUGUCCUUACGUGACCUAAAGCUGGAGUAUUUUGAGAUUGGAGAAUUAAGAGCCAGUCUUGGUGCUCUGUGUUCACCUGGUUCAUCUGAGGAGCUGCAUCUACCCUGCCCAUGCCAUAGAUCCUGCCCUGUUUGCUUCUCCUGUUGCUGCUAGUGGACAUGAGAAGGACAGAAUAACGGGCUCCCAGAUUCACAAGCCCCACCAAGAGGAUCACCCCAGGAACGCUUGGAGGCUGAGGAGUUCACUGAGGCUACUGCAUCUUGAGACUCAGGAUGAAGACCCAGCUUGGGGCUGUCAAAGGUUUUUUGCAUGUCUGACACCCAUGACUCCACCUGGACCUUAUGGCUCCACCCAGAAGCAAUUCAGCCCAACAGGAGGACAGCUUCAACCCAUUACGAUUUCAUCUCUGCCCCAACCACUCAGCAGCAAGCACCUGUUACCUGUCCACCCCCACCCCUUCCCCCAAACUGCCUUUGAAAAAUCCCUAACCUAUGAGCUUUGAAUAAGAUGAGUACGAACUUCAUCGCCCACGUGGCGUGGCCGGCCUCGUGUCUAUUAAAUUCUUUUUCUACUACAAUGCCGU